rnacentral:rRNA from 1 species
AUGGAUCCAGCAACGAUAACCACCGCGACGUUGAUGAGGAACGCCACGACGAAAGCAAGGCUGCACUCUAUGAGGACGUAUGUGCAACCUACUCUGAUGCUUUUGUCUGACCGUGGGGUCUUCCAUGAGAGGACCAGGGCAGAGUGCAAGAACAAGUUGUACCUGCAUAUGAUAGCGCCAAAGAGCGCCAUCGCAUUGGCAGCAGCACCUUUCCCUCGCAGAGAGGGGACAAACAUGCCCUUGGUCACAUCUCUAGCAGAUGGACUAAGGUAG